UGACUUGAGAACAGCCUCUGCAGGCCCUGC
rnacentral:piRNA from 1 species